GGUCAACCAGACUCCCUCUCUGGGGAAAAAGUGAGUUAGGAGUCAAGGGGAACAGAGAACACUCAGGCUAAAAGAUCCUGUCAGCUGAGGGGCCUAGAUGAAUAUCAAGGUGCAGUGAUUGGCUACUGUGAAUUUAGUGACUGGCAUAUGAUAUGGAGGCCAAACCGGGCUCAAGAGUGACUGAAAACAAACCCGGAGGGAAGGACACUGCAGAAGGAGGAUUUUGCGUCCAAGUCCAUAUCCCUGCUAAG
rnacentral:lncRNA from 1 species